GAUACUGAAAGUGAAGUGUGUGGAGCCAAACAAUCUGAAAGGAGAGGAAAGAACGGAGUGGGGCGAGACUCAAAGUGGGCAAGCUCACUGGCAGCUAUGGCAAUGACCCAAAAGUGAGGUGGAUACAAUGUCAGAAGAGAGGUGGAUGGAUGAGACACAUAUGAGCUGUGUUUCGAAAGUUCAUUUUACAGAUGAGGAAACUGAGGCAAAGAGGUUGAAGUGUCUGGAGGUUGGAUUUAAACUCAAGAAGAUGAGUUUUCUUGACUGUCCACUAUGCCACCUGGUUGUCCACAGCAUUGAUACUUUGUCAAAAUAGCCUACCAUCUCUUAAGAAGUCAAUAUACUGAAGCUGUCUCAACAAUGAACAAACCCACAAGAGUAUUGUAACCACUAUGCUAGGACAACCCAAGUGAUAGCCUGAAUUUCAUUAUGUACAGGUGAUUUUUUGCAACCUUUAGGAGGGACCUUUCCAUGUUAUUGUACCAAGUCAACUAACAUCCUGGCCUCAUCUGACCCUGCACACUCUUUACUGAAAUGUUACUCCCAUUUUCAUUUGCCUGCACUCACCUCCUUCUUUAAUUUCUCCUGACAUUUUGUACAUCAAAUUAGGGAGUUUCAUAAGAAGGAAGAGAGCACAGCACAUCGCCUUGGCAACAGAGGUCAAAAGAACUAACAAAUGGUAAACAUCAGAAAAGGAGGGUGCGCAGGCUACAAAACAACUGGUGCCAGAAAUUCUCAAAGGUCAUGCGUAUGGUGAAGUUUCAAGCCACCCCCAAAGCCUGGACACCCUUUCUACUUACUGUGAAGAGACAAAGGAAAAAAAAUACACCCAGAACACAGAUGAUGAAGAAAGAAACAAAAACACAAAAAUAUAUAUGGAGGGAAGGAGAAAAGGAGAAGGAAAGAGAAGUGAAAAAGAGAGAAGAAUCGGAAGAGGAGGAAGAAGAGGAGGAAGAAGAAGAUGAAGA